CCAAACAGCAAAAGCGAAAAAGGCUUAAUUUGUAGCCAAGUUAAGUUAUAUUCACACGCUUUUUGAUACCAAUUGCAAACAAUUGCCCUGCGUCAACACGUCUGCCACGCCCCCCUAUUACUCCCCAGCUCCAGUCACGCUUAGGCAGUUUUGUCAAAAUACAAAAAUUGGCCAAAAAGGCAGGCGACAAAGCGGCUAAGAAAACAACAGCCGAAAGAAAACAAAAAUAAAAUAAAACACACACACACACACAAAUACAGACACAAAGACAAGACUGUUGGCAGCUAAUAAUGAAACUAAGUUGGUAAUAAAGCUGGCCUAAACCUAGCCAGCGACUUGGGUGUGCUUUGUAUGAUGUUUGCCUAUCAAGGACUGAUUGUACGGCCGAGAGUCAUUUUGAGGGUACUGAACGACUGGCAGAUGCCGUAACUAUGCUUGCUUUUGCCUUGGCCGGGAUCAGUGCGCCUCUAUGAUGCCACCAGGUUCAACAUGCCACUUGGGUUAAUUUCGACCAGGGCUGGACCUGGGUCCGGAUCUGACCACAAACUGACUCGAGUGGCAGCAGAAGACGCACAAGUUGCAUGCAAAUAAUUACCCAAAGGAAAUCCAGCAACAAGUCUCAAUGCGUUGCGAGUCGAGGCAAGUCGUGUAGACGACAAUGGAAAUGAGCCAUGCGUUGUUAUUGUUCAGAUUUAACAUUUCCUGCAUGUGCCACACACACACACACACAUACACACAUGCAGAGCGAGAACUGAGUGAAAUCUGUCAAAAUAAACCAACUGCGACUGCGUCUACAACAUUUGGGAAA